CUUUUUUUUUUUUUUUUUUUUUUUUUUUUUUUUUUUUUUUUUUUUUUU
rnacentral:ribozyme from 1 species